AGUGAACGCUGGCGGUAGGCCUAACACAUGCAAGUCGAACGGCAGCACAGUAAGAGCUUGCUCUUACGGGUGGCGAGUGGCGGACGGGUGAGGAAUACAUCGGAAUCUACUUUUUCGUGGGGGAUAACGUAGGGAAACUUACGCUAAUACCGCAUACGACCUACGGGUGAAAGCAGGGGAUCUUCGGACCUUGCGCGAUUGAAUGAGCCGAUGUCGGAUUAGCUAGUUGGCGGGGUAAAGGCCCACCAAGGCGACGAUCCGUAGCUGGUCUGAGAGGAUGAUCAGCAACACUGGAACUGAGACACGGUCCAGAAUCCUACGGGAGGCAGCAGUGGGGAAUAUUGGACAAUGGGCGCAAGCCUGAUACAGCCAUACCGCGUGGGUCAAGAAGGCCUUCGGGUUGUAAAGCCCUUUUGUUGGGAAAGAAAAGCAGCAGGUUAAUACCCCGCUGUUCUGACGGUACCCAAAGAAUAAGCACCGGCUAACUUCGUG
rnacentral:rRNA from 1 species